CCCCGUACACAAAAAUGCACAUGCUGUGAGCUCGAUGAGUAGGGCGGGACACGUGGUAUCCUGUCUGAAUAUGGGGGGACCAUCCUCCAAGGCUAAAUACUCCUGACUGACCGAUAGUGAACCAGUACCGUGAGGGAAAGGCGAAAAGAACCCCGGCGAGGGGAGUGAAAAAGAACCUGAAACCGUGUACGUACAAGCAGUGGGAGCACGCUUAGGCGUGUGACUGCGUACCUUUUGUAUAAUGGGUCAGCGACUUAUAUUCUGUAGCAAGGUUAACCGAAUAGGGGAGCCGAAGGGAAACCGAGUCUUAACUGGGCGUUAAGUUGCAGGGUAUAGACCCGAAACCCGGUGAUCUAGCCAUGGGCAGGUUGAAGGUUGGGUAACACUAACUGGAGGACCGAACCGACUAAUGUUGAAAAAUUAGCGGAUGACUUGUGGCUGGGGGUGAAAGGCCAAUCAAACCGGGAGAUAGCUGGUUCUCCCCGAAAGCUAUUUAGGUAGCGCCUCGUGAAUUCAUCUCCGGGGGUAGAGCACUGUUUCGGCAAGGGGGUCAUCCCGACUUACCAACCCGAUGCAAACUGCGAAUACCGGAGAAUGUUAUCACGGGAGACACACGGCGGGUGCUAACGUCCGUCGUGAAGAGGGAAACAACCCAGACCGCCAGCUAAGGUCCCAAAGUCAUGGUUAAGUGGGAAACGAUGUGGGAAGGCCCAGACAGCCAGGAUGUUGGCUUAGAAGCAGCCAUCAUUUAAAGAAAGCGUAAUAGCUCACUGGUCGAGUCGGCCUGCGCGGAAGAUGUAACGGGGCUAAACCAUGCACCGAAGCUGCGGCAGCGACGCUUAUGCGUUGUUGGGUAGGGGAGCGUUCUGUAAGCCUGUGAAGGUGUGCUGUGAGGCAUGCUGGAGGUAUCAGAAGUGCGAAUGCUGACAUAAGUAACGAUAAAGCGGGUGAAAAGCCCGCUCGCCGGAAGACCAAGGGUUCCUGUCCAACGUUAAUCGGGGCAGGGUGAGUCGACCCCUAAGGCGAGGCCGAAAGGCGUAGUCGAUGGGAAACAGGUUAAUAUUCCUGUACUUGGUGUUACUGCGAAGGGGGGACGGAGAAGGCUAUGUUGGCCGGGCGACGGUUGUCCCGGUUUAAGCGUGUAGGCUGGUUUUCCAGGCAAAUCCGGAAAAUCAAGGCUGAGGCGUGAUGACGAGGCACUACGGUGCUGAAGCAACAAAUGCCCUGCUUCCAGGAAAAGCCUCUAAGCAUCAGGUAACAUCAAAUCGUACCCCAAACCGACACAGGUGGUCAGGUAGAGAAUACCAAGGCGCUUGAGAGAACUCGGGUGAAGGAACUAGGCAAAAUGGUGCCGUAACUUCGGGAGAAGGCACGCUGAUAUGUAGGUGAAGUCCCUCGCGGAUGGAGCUGAAAUCAGUCGAAGAUACCAGCUGGCUGCAACUGUUUAUUAAAAACACAGCACUGUGCAAACACGAAAGUGGACGUAUACGGUGUGACGCCUGCCCGGUGCCGGAAGGUUAAUUGAUGGGGUUAGCGCAAGCGAAGCUCUUGAUCGAAGCCCCGGUAAACGGCGGCCGUAACUAUAACGGUCCUAAGGUAGCGAAAUUCCUUGUCGGGUAAGUUCCGACCUGCACGAAUGGCGUAAUGAUGGCCAGGCUGUCUCCACCCGAGACUCAGUGAAAUUGAACUCGCUGUGAAGAUGCAGUGUACCCGCGGCAAGACGGAAAGACCCCGUGAACCUUUACUAUAGCUUGACACUGAACAUUGAGCCUUGAUGUGUAGGAUAGGUGGGAGGCUUAGAAGUGUGG
rnacentral:rRNA from 1 species